GACGAACGCUGGCGGCGUGCCUAAUACAUGCAAGUAGAACGAGUUGCGAACGGGUGAGUAACGCGUGGUAACCUGCCUCAUAGCGGGGGAUAACUAUUGGAAACGAUAGCUAAUACCGCAUACUUUUGGAUGGACCUGCGUUGUAUUAGCUAGUUGGUGAGGUAACGGCUCACCUAGGCGACGAUCCCUAGCUGGUCUGAGAGGUGGACCAGCCACAAGGGAACUGAGACACGGUCCAGACGCCUGCGGGAGGCAGGAGUGGGGAGUAUUGCACAGUGGGCGCAAGCCUGAUGCGGCAAUGCCGCUUGUAUGAAGAAGGCCUUCGGGUUGUAAAGUACUUUCGGCGGGGAGGCGUGACCCGCUGAAGAAGCACCGGAUAACUCAGUGCCAGCCGCCGCGGUAAUUC
rnacentral:rRNA from 1 species